rnacentral:rRNA from 1 species
UACGAAGGGUGCAAACGUUGCUCGGAAUUAUUGGGCGUAAAGCGCACGUAGGCGGCUCUCCUAGUCGGAUGUGAAAUCCCUCGGCUCAACCAAGGAAGUGCAUCCGAAACUGCGGAGCUUGAGUACUUAAGAGGAUCGCGGAAUUCCCGGUGUAGAGGUGAAAUUCGUAGAUAUCAGGAGGAACACCGGUGGCGAAGGCGGGUCUCUGGGCCGAAAUUGACGCUGAGGAGCGAAAGCGUGGGGAGCAAACAGG